UAACAGUCCUUUUUGGCUUAAAGGGGGCAAUCUCAUCUGUAAUAUCACUUCACGAACUUGGCUUAACACUAAAACUAAAACAGAUUUAAAGAAACACUCCAAUUUGGCAGUAAAGUCCUUGCUGAUAUGUCUAAUCAGAUGCUUCUCGUAGACUGCUUUGGGUCAUGUGCUAUAGCUGUAUAUUGAUGCUGAGAAGCUCUCACUUCACCUUUUUAUUCUAUUGUCUGAGAACUGGAGGUUUACAUGUGGAGGAACUCUACUAAAUGCUUUGCCAAUCUCAUG